UGUCAUUUUUAACUGUGAUUUGUCGCAGUUAAGAAACGUAGGUCGCGUAUCCCGCCGCCACUGCGAUUUCUGCUACUUCCGCGAUAUCUGUGACUUAAGCGGUUUUCGUGACUUCUGCGAUUUCUGCUACUUACCACCGUAUGAGAAAGUUACAUCUGCCCACACAGAAAAUUGCAUCUCAACAAAUCUGUCAUUGGUACCCGACCUAAAUUUCAGUCACUCAGUAAAGAGAUAACUCAAAAUAUUAUUGUCAACAGAUCUGGAGAAAUUGCCACUGCGUCUUUAGACUGUUUUCGUCAGACAAUACGUUAGUUUCUAAGUGUUCCGAUGAACUGAAUUACUUAAGCGAGAUCGUUCUAGCAAAUGUGAAAUGUACUCCAUUGAGUGGCUUUCAUUACAGCAAAUACUAGCAAUACUACUACCAGUUACAUUGCUUGUAAUUAGUGACAGCAAAAAUGUUCAAUAAUCCUUGCGAUUUUGCAGACGCAGCUCCGACUCUGAUUACUAGUUGCUGUAGGUGUCUACCCACAUCAAGGCUCUUGAGAGAGAAUCGAGAAGAUUCAAUACAGCUCUUAGAGGAUAUGCAGUUCAAUAGUGCCAUAAUUAUGAAGUGAUCCUGUCUCCCAUCUGCACUCUCCCUCAAUCAAGAAGCUGAUGAAAGGUACUUUGGACAGUUAUGCAGGAUCAAUGGUAUGGCUCCUGGCGCAAGGUAAGGUUUCAGAAGAGGCACAGAAUAUUUUUUUCCCUGUGGAACUAUAAAAAUAGUCACCGCAUCUCAGAAUGAGGUCCUCAGUGAAGUGGAUCUUACAGACCUUAAAAUAAUAAGAAAAACUUUUAUCAGCUACAUAUAAUAAGUCUGUUACUUUCAGAACAGAUUGAUCAAUACUGACUCACUAUUUUAAGUUGUAGAGCUAAAGGUAUUCCUCCAUAAGUAAAACACAGACUGCCAGUGAUACAGUUCUUUAUGCAGCAAACUUAUUCUGUUAUAGAAAGGCAUCAGGGUAACUGAAAUCACAUUGUUACUGAUCAAUGCGACAUUAUGCUAACUUAAACACAUGAUAAGUUGUUCAUGCUCUCUAUGUUAAAGCCCACAUACCCUGAGACAGUCUGAGAUGUACUGAUGUUGAGCACAACUUCAAAGUCUGUGUAACCUGGAACUUUUUACGGAGUAUUGCAGCUAUCCAUUUCUGCUGGAUUUCUGUGUUUUUAGAAAAAGAAAACACCACUACUCAUGGCAUAUUUUCAUAAUUUCCUCUGCAGCAUGGCACACAAUACUUGUGCACCAUUCUGAAUGAUGACAUCAUAACCUCAGAAUUAUUGAUGUACUUCUGCAUAUUUUGAAAUAAACAUAAAUGGUAAUCAAAGUUUUGUUUGCUGGGUAGGUUAGCCAACAUAAACACUUUAUUCUGAAUUGCUUAUACAGCUUAAUUAGAAAAGGGAGCAAAAUUUUUCUUGCCAUGUUUUAUCAUUUCAAUAGAAUUGCCUCCAGCAAAGCAAGAAACAUUCAUGUAGUGCUCCGGACCAUUACUUACAAAUUAUUCAGUGCUUUCUAAAACUCAUAUUUAGUAGCAGUGAUGAAAUCCAUUAACAUUCCAUUUUAAUUAAUUAAUUCACAUCUAUCUACACAAUAAUAAACAUAAUAAUAUAAAACAUCUUACAUUUUAUUUUUUAUUAUGUUUUACUGAGGAACAUUACAUUUCCCGUACAGUUUGCCCAAUGUACAGACAACAUUAGGGAGAGGAUACGAUCUUGUCCUAUGCCUUUUUCAUAUGCUGCUUCUCUAUCACCUCCUUCAAAUUUUGUUAUUGCAGUCUGGUUUUCUAAUAUGUGAGCAAUGCAACUAAUUUUGUGUGUUUUACUUUUUGGAAACAGUUUUCCACAAUAAGAAAUG